rnacentral:lncRNA from 1 species
CUUCCUGUGUGCAGCAUGGAUCUAAAGCUGGUGGAUGCAGGGGGGUGAACAAGACAACAUCUUCACUUCCUGCAUGCUGAUGGCAGAAGUGAGACAUCAGCGAAGAAACAUCACGAUCACCAAAUUACGAUGAACACCAUGGAGGAAACAAAGGACACUGUGACACCAAGGAAGGAAGGGAGGUUACUUUUCAUAGUGGCUGUAAAUAGAACUGAAGGCUGAAAAACAGCUGUUAAAAUGGCUUGUUUGUUUGAAGAUGAAUGAGAGUACACAAUAAAAGGAAAAAAAUUUGGACACAGACACACACAGAGGGAUGACCACGUGGAGAUGCAGGGAGAGGAUAGCAGCUACAGGCCAGGGCGAGAGGCCUCAGAGGAAACCAGUCCUGCUGACUCUUUGAACUCGGACUUCCAGCCUCCAGAACUGAACCACUGUCUUCCUUUAUCCCAGGAUGUCUGCAAGGAAGAAAAUGUCCUUUUUCUAGCAUUUAGAGGCCACCAACAUUGAAUAACCACACUGGGGUAGACACAGCGGCGAAGAGAUUCCUGCUGUUCCCAUCACAGCAGCCUUGGAGAUGAGAAGACAGAUGGAUCUGACCAGAAGUCUGGAGAACUUCGAGAAAAAAGGAGGAGGACACAAAAGGAAAUAACAAAAAAGAUGCAUCCGGAGCAACUAUGAGGAUGGUAAAUUGGUGUCUAAUUCUGAAAAUCAUAAUUGGUAUAAAUGCUAUGUACUGUGGAAGGAGGGAUGAAGGGUAGAGGGAAUAAAAAAGAACAUGAAGUUAGAAUCCUUGGCAUGAAAGCCUGCCAUUUAUACAAGCAAACAAACAAGAUCAGGGACUAUCAACUGGCUGGCUGAAUUGGACCAAUAGGCAGGUUUAUUCAGCCCCACACUUCAAAAAUUAGGAGAUCUCCAAAUUAAAAUCUGGGAAUCUGACCUUUUGUAACAAAUCAGAGGAUUUGCAACACCAAGAGCAUCAUCACAGGCAACGACCAGCUUGGAUGGGCAGCGGCUGCCCCUGCAGGUGGGUCAGGUGCUCUUCCGUUGGACACAGUCUCCACCACUCCCUGUCGCUUGCUCCUUGCUCCCCAUCAGCAUAACUGUUUGGGCCUUAUAGCAUAUGCAUUUAUCACUCCCUACUAGGACGUCCACAACAUGAAAUGAGAGAACGAUUUGGUAAGUUCAACAAAAGGCAUAUUAUGCAGCCACCAUACAUUCUUUGUGGAAAGAGAAGUGGCAUAAAUCAAUUCAUAAAUUAUCUCAAGUUGUUUCCUCUGGAGUCCUGGGCUGGCUGUUGGAUGAAUUCAUCUGUCUUCUAGCAGAUGGACAAGAAAAUUGAAUUGUAGUGGCCCAUCAGGUGUCGAUCGCAGCCUCUGGGUCCGUGUAGGUGAGCCCUCACCACAGAGAGAAUGAGAGCUGGCUCUAGGACGGGGUGUUGAUCUGUGCACAGCUGCCCGGGAAAGGGCCUAGAGAGAGGAGCUAUGGGUCCUGCACUGACAUCAGCCUUGAACAUGAGGCUGGCGUGGCAGCGGCGGCGGGGUGGGGGGGGACAUGAAUAAUUCAUAUCGCAACCAGAUUGAUGCUCAGUGAGCUUCAAUAGGAAUGAAUUACCUUGUGUGCAUUUCCUGCCUAAAUGUCAGUGUAUCUUUUCACAAGCGCCUGGGACGGGUUUAUGAAUAGGUGCAUUCUCUGAUGCCUCUGCUUUAGGCAAGGCAGUUUCAGAAUCUUGGCUGAGUUUCCAACUUCUGACUUGCUAUUUACAAACUGUAAUCAUAAGAUUUCAAGUGACACAUGACUGAAAAAAAAAAGCCCUUACUCAGGAGAAAUCUGGAUGGAAAUGGAACAAUGGUUUUGAAUGUAUCUGGAUCAUGAAAUGAAAGUCAGGAGGCUUGAGUGUUCUGCUGAGAAAAAGUGAUGGGGGAAGAACAUAAACAUGUAUAGGACACUUACUGUCUUGGGAACUUUAUGGGUGUUCUCAUUGUUAACAUCAUUUAACAGAUGAGAAAAACAGUUCUCAGACAUUGCUGCUAACAGAAAUUCAAUGCAAGCCACAUUUGUAAUUUAAGAUUUCCUAGUAACCACAUUAAAAAAGAGAAAAAUAAAAAAGAGACUGAAAU